GUGAAACACUUUACAUACGCACCUGUCCGUGACGUGGAUCACAUGACUGUGACGUCAUCGACACCCAACUUUCAUUUCAAGUGUUUUAUGGGAAUGAAAACUCCUGCGUGCUGAAAGAUGGGAUGUUGUUUCUCCUCUCCCGAUGGAGAGGUUGAGAGAGAACCUUUGCUUCAAUCCAGCAAUAAAACACAAACAGAAUCUGCAAGACCACAACGACCAGCAGCUAAUGAAUCUGCAAGACCACCACGACCAGCAGCUAAUGCAGAUGGAGUUCAGAAGAGCGGCAGCUUUACUGCUCGUCGUGUUGGCGUUCCCGGCCUCGAUGAGCGUUUCACUGACGUUGCUGAUACUUUCAACAAACAGCAGGACAAUUAUGAAACAAUGAAGAACCAGCUUCAGACUCUUUCAAGCCACUACCACUGCCCAAAUAACGACAGUCUGUCUCAAUGCCUGAAGAAAAUCAAGGAGAAACAUGAGCUCUGCCACAUCAAUCUGGAGGUUAAAGGAUACGACUUCAGUCUGAUGGUGAGAUCAGAGGCCGAGAUCCCCAGCAAACUGAAGCGGACGCAGGAGAACGUCACCGAGCUGAGCCGAGCCGCCAAAGCCAUCAUCUCCGUCAGCACUAAACUCAACGAAAUGAUCGACUCGCUUCUGAGAGCCGAGGACAGCAUGAUCAAUCAGGUCGAAGCUGCUGAAUCCAGACACCAGGAGCAAAGGAGGCUGGUGGACAACCUGCGGGAAAACCUCAGAGAGGCUCGGAGAGCCAAAGAGCUGAGUCCGAAGUACAGGAAAGAGGCUGGAAAUCUCCUCAAUGAGGCCGCAUUGCUCUCUGCAAUCACACCGUGAACUGACUUUGUCUCUUAGCUAUUAGCAAAUAUGAAGGAUUCUAUACUGUUAAACAGUGAAGAGAAGACUUUAUCUCAAAACAAAAGUGAGAAAUUGCAAUGUUGCAACUGCACAUAUACAGUGGCAGUACAAAUAUACAAGAUGCAUAAAAUAAUAUUAGAAUUAUAAAAAAACAGAACAUGCAUAAAUCCAUUAAUUAUUUAAACAUUAUCAAAGAUCUAUAAAUUUGUCCAGUAUCAUCUUAUUUAAAAUAUAAAUGGGCAUAAUAAGAAAAAAUGUAAUUUUAACUCAUUUUACUGUCUUUACUGUUUACUGUUUGAGAACAAAUAGUUUAAUAUUGGAAAGCAUAAUCAAGGGAGUUGUUGUUUUCUAUCCUCUUGAGCUCUUUUGUGUAUGUACAUGUAUUUUAGUUUCUGAAAGCGCUUGCAUACUUCAGAAUCAGUCCUCGUCAUGUGAAAAUGAGUGUAUAUUGAUUCUGAAUCUUGAACACUUUGCCUUUGUAACAUUUUCUUCCUUUGGUUUAUAUUUUGUAAAUUAAUAAUUGAAUUAUGUUAGAAUGAUUGCUUUUAAGUAAAUAUCAGAAUCAGAAUCAGAAUCAGAAAGAGCUUUAUUGCCAAGUAUGUUUGCACAUACAAGGAAUUUGUUAUAGUGUCACAAGCUUCCAGUACACGGAGACAACAACAACACACAGAUAAUAAAAAUGAGAUGUGAAUAAAAUACACAUGCAUAAAUAUAAACCACAAAAAAAAAAAGAAUAAAUUGUAUGUACAGGUGUGCUAUAGAUGGAAUAGGAAUAGAAUAAAAUAAGUUGUAGGGAUGUACUAGGGUUUAGGGUGAUAAAUAGGUAUAAGGUUAUUGCACAUACUUUAAUUGCACAAUGGGAG
ensembl:lncRNA uncharacterized LOC107667575